AAGAUGGCGACCGGCGCACGGGUGAGUAACACGUAUCCAACCUGCCGAUAACUCCGGAAUAGCCUUUCGAAAGAAAGAUUAAUACCGGAUGGCAUACGAAUAUCGCAUGAUAUUUUUAUUAAAGAAUUUCGGUUAUCGAUGGGAUGCGUUCCAUUAGUUUGUUGGCGGGGUAACGGCCCACCAAGACUACGAUGGAUAGGGGUUCUGAGAGGAAGGUCCCCCACAUUGGAACUGAGACACGGUCCAA
rnacentral:rRNA from 1 species